rnacentral:rRNA from 1 species
AUGUGUUUGCCAAAAGAUAAAGUAGGCAUGGGGUUUAGGGACCUACACGCUUCCAACCUAGCCAUGUUGGCAAAACAAAGUUGGAGGAUGAUUACUCACCCUGAACCCUAUGUGCAAGUGUUGAGAUCAAAGUAUUCCCUUGAUGGAAAUCUGCUCAAGGCAGGCCCAAAGAAAGGAUCCUUGUAUACUUGGUAAAGCAUAUUUGCAGGAAUUCAAACCUUCUGA